rnacentral:rRNA from 1 species
AACGGCCAUACCAUGCUCAAUAUACCGGUUCUCGUUAGAUCACCGAAGUCAAGCAUCAUUGGGCGCGGUCAGUACUUGGGUGGGUGACCACCUGGGAACACCAGGUGCCGUU